ensembl:snoRNA
AUUGCCCCUUGAGGCGUUGCAAUGCGACUGACCUGUCGUAUUUGUGUCAUAAGGUGGCAUAGAACAAAGGGCUAUGUUUACGCCUCAAACCCUCUUCAAUGGGUUCUCAGUGUCUUUAUAGUCCUACAAG